AUACGGAGGGUCCAAGCGUUAUCCGGAUUCAUUGGGUUUAAAGGGUCCGCAGGCGGGAAAAUAAGUCAGUGGUGAAAGCCUACAGCUCAACUGUAGAACUGCCAUUGAUACUGUUUUUCUUGAGUAUAGAUGAAGUGGGCGGAAUAUAUCAUGUAGCGGUGAAAUGCAUAGAUAUGAUAUAGAACACCGAUUGCGAAGGCAGCUCACUAAACUAUUCCUGACGCUCAGGGACGAAAGCGUGGGGAGCGAACAGGAUUAGAAACCCUAGUAGUCC
rnacentral:rRNA from 1 species